UGGAAGCGCGAAGGUGGUGUCAGGAUCUUGCCGAAAGGAGAGAGGAAUUCCAGGCGACGUCCCUGCAGCACUUUCCUAAUGGAUCGAGCCAUUCCCUUCGGCGCGCAGGGAUGGCGGCGGCGGCGGCGGCGGCUCUUCCCUGUAAACCUGCCAAGCGAAAUUGCACCAUCAGAGCGGUCUAACUUCAGUGGGUGGGGACCAGGGUGCUUCCUUAAACAGGCAGGAGAAGGAGCGAGCGAAGGGAAGCGCUGCCAGCGCCGCGAUCCUCCUUCCUGGGCGGCUGUUGCCGCCGCCGCCGCCGCUCUUCGCCAGCACCGCUGCAGCCGCGUUUGCUUCUGGAUGUGUCAUCUCACACGUGGUGGGGCUUUUCUUGCGCCGCGAAAACUUUCGAGGGAUACUUGCUUGCUUCCAACUUGGACAUACGCUCGGUGACAUCGGCAGGGGAGUGGGGGGGACCCUCUUCGCCCUGCACGGAUCCAGUCGCCUCUUCCAACCUGGGGUGGUGUGCUGCCUCCCCCCUUUCUCCCUCCCUCUCUGCUCUUGGAAUUCCGCUCCCACCUUUAAAGCGUUUGCAUCCUGGACAAUUUUUUUCCUCCCCCCCCCCCUUCUUCUUAACACGGAAAAUGUUGCAAUGUGUCUUUUUUAACGACCGGGCUCUAUUUUUCUGAGGGGUGGGCCGCUGCCUCCUCCUCCCACCCCACCCCACCCCUUCCCCUCGGUUUUUCUCCACUUUAGUUCAAGAAGAUCUGGAAGGCCACAUCCUGCAAGCCUUCGCUUGGCUGGCUGGCUUCCCCCUGACAUAAGGGUUCCGUUCCCAUGAAGCUCUUCUUGAUUAUCAAUCUGGGAACCUAUGCAGACCGUCACAACUUGCCUCCAUGCAACAGAGAAUGUACUGCACAGAGUGGCCUUUUCUGUGUGUUGCUUCAUGAAUAGCAGAUGUUAAGUUUCCAAAUCAAAGAAAGCUGCUUCCAGAUCCUGCAGUUAGUUCCAAUGAGGGAAUGUAUACCAUCAUUUGGGAUUAGGCUGGCCUUGUGGUAGCAAGCAUGAAUUGUCCCCUUUGCUAAGCAGGGUUUGCAACUACUUGUGAAAAUGCUGUCUGCUGUAAGAUAUUCCCCUGAGGGCAGGGAUUCUUAAACGUGAGCCCCCCAGGUGUUGUCUGGCCUUUGGCCAUUGUGGCUAGGGAUGAUGGGAGUUGUAGUCCAGCAACAUCUGGGGACCCAAGUUUGAGAACCUCUGUCUUAGGGGAUGGGGUUUUGCUCAGGAGCAGAGCAUCUGCUUUGCAUUCAGAAGGUCCCAGGUUCCAUCCCUGCCUGGCAUCUCCGGACCAAGGAUCUGCCUGGCAUCUCCAGACCAAGGCAGCUUCCUAUGCUCCUUUCUUAAACUUGUACAGUGGUUCUGGACUACAGCUCCCAUAAUUCCCCUGUUGGGGGUUGUAAUUUUAUCCCCCAGUUAAUUAGCAGAGCACUAAAGAAGCUACCCACUCCAGUUACAGAGUAGAAUGCAGAGUUUAGUUGUUGCAGCUAUUUAGAGAAGACACAUGGAGAUUCUUGUAGAAUAACAUUCUAAGAAAAUUUAUUGGUGAAGUACACCUUUGGAUAGGAAAGACCUAAUCCUUAAUCUAAAGAACUACAUUAUGAAUAGGUAGGGAGAGAGAGCAAUGUUUCCAUCUGCUCCCUAAGAGUAAAGGAAGGGAUUCUGAGCUGACUCAGCACAGGAAAUACCUGAAGAGUCAUAUCAGGGGUCAUAGAGUAGAGACAGGUAGAACAGCUAGGGAGACCCUUACUCACCAUCUCUACUCCCAAUGCCCCUAGUGGUCAUUAGGAUAGUUGGUGCAAAAGGUCGAUGCACUGGAACUCCAACAUCCCCAGUCACAGGCCACUGCGAUUGGAGAAAGGGGAGAUUGUAGUCCAACAACAUCUAGGCCCAGAGUUGGAGAGCCCUUGAUCUAAAGAGCUUUUUAGUUGGGUUUAGCUAUGCUGGUUCAUAGCUGAGGCGUUGCUUCCACCAUGUGGAACCUGCCUUUGGAUCAGGCCUGCUCAACUUAGGCCCCACAGCUGUUUUUGGACUACAACUCCCAUAAUUCCCAGCCGCAGUGACCAAUAGCCAAGGAUUAUGGGAUUUGUAUGCCAACAUCUUCAGGAGGGCCAAAGUUGGGCGGCCCUGCUUUGGAUCAAAGGAAUUUAAUCAAAUAGGGAUGUGGUUUUGUUUCAGGGGCAGAAAUAUCUGUAGAGAUGGGUCAAUUCAGAAGACACUUUAGAUCAGAACCCUAAACAACCCUAUUAAUGUUGUCUCCGCAUCCCAAUGCACAUGCAUAUCAUUCUGUUUGAUAAGCUGCAUAGAUGCUGGUCAGCUGUUUAGGGGGAGAAGUAUAGAGGGACUCCAUCCAACUGAUCUGCGUUAUCACUGAUAGGGCUGACAGGGCCACACGUGUGCAGCCUCGGAUGCUGGAUCAGACCAGGGAAUUAUGCAAGCAGCUCCCAUGACAGAGUAUAAUUUCCCAGCCAGCUAGAAAUACAGAUGCAGAAGCUGACUUGCAUGCUCAUCUGGCCCUGAAGCAAAUUGGGGCAACUAUCUGUGGCAACUGCCAGAUGCCUAAUGGCUGGAAAAGACAGCAGUCCAAUUGUAUCUUUUUUAAAAAUAAAGUUUUAUUUGUUUGUC